rnacentral:rRNA from 1 species
UACGUAGGGGGCUAGCGUUGUCCGGAAUCAUUGGGCGUAAAGAGCGUGUAGGCGGCCCGGUAAGUCCGCUGUAAAAGUCAAAGGCUCAACCUUUGAAUGUCAGUGGAUACUGCCGGGCUAGAGUCCGGAAGAGGCGAGUGGAAUUCCUGGUGUAGCGGUGGAAUGCGCAGAUAUCAGGAAGAACACCAACGGCGAAGGCAGCUCGCUAGGACGGUACUGACGCUGAGACGCGAAAGCGUGGGGAGCGAACAGG